AUGAACGCUGGCGGCGUGCCUAAUCCAUGCAAGUCGAUCGAACGGACGAGAAGCUUGCUUCUCUGAUGUUAGCGGCGGACGGGUGAGUAACACGUGGAUAACCUACCUAUAAGACUGGGAUAACUUCGGGAAACCGUAGCUAAUACCGGAUAAUAUUUUGAACCGCAUGGUUCAAAAGUGAAAGACGGUCUUGCUGUCACUUAUAGAUGGAUCCGCGCUGCAUUAGCUAGUUGGUAAGGUAACGGCUUACCAAGGCAACGAUGCAUAGCCGACCUGAGAGGGUGAUCGGCCACACUGGAACUGAGACACGGUCCAGACUCCUACGGGAGGCAGCAGUAGGGAAUCUUCCGCAAUGGGCGAAAGCCUGACGGAGCAACGCCGCGUGAGUGAUGAAGGUCUUCGGAUCGUAAAACUCUGUUAUUAGGGAAGAACAUAUGUGUAAGUAACUGUGCACAUCUUGACGGUACCUAAUCAGAAAGCCACGGCUAACUACGUG
rnacentral:rRNA from 1 species